rnacentral:rRNA from 1 species
AUUGAACGCUGGCGGAAUGCUUUACACAUGCAAGUCGAGCGGCAGCGCGGGGCAACCUGGCGGCGAGCGGCGAACGGGUGAGUAAUGCAUCGGAACAUGUCCAUGUCGUGGGGGAUAGCCCGGCGAAAGCCGGAUUAAUACCGCAUACGCCCGAGAGGGGAAAGUGGGGGACCGCAAGGCCUCACGCGAUUGGGUUGGCCGAUGUCCGAUUAGCUUGUUGGUGAGGUAAAGGCUUACCAAGGCGAUGAUCGGUAGCUGGUCUGAGAGGAUGAUCAGCCACACUGGGACUGAGACACGGCCCAGACUCCUACGGGAGGCAGCAGUGGGGAAUUUUGGACAAUGGGGGCAACCCUGAUCCAGCCAUUCCGCGUGAGUGAAGAAGGCCUUCGGGUUGUAAAGCUCUUUUGUCCGGAGCGAAACGGUGGCGGUGAAUAUCCGCCACUACUGACGGUACCGGAAGAAUAAGCACCGGCUAACUACGUGCCAGCCGCCGCAGUAACAC